UUGGUAUUUGUCACUUGUUUUUACUUGAGUUAAAAAACAAAAUCUCUCUUCAUAGAGUUGAUGUUUUUCAGUCACGACUGUUCAUCAUGACGGUGUCUUGUAGAACGUGUGGUGAGUUUCUUCAGUCCAGGCGUUGUCCUUGUCAAUAUUAGUCAGGCUACAGUCCCAAACAAUCCAUCUGACUAUUGUGUCAUUCAGACUGUCAGCGGGAGACUGACUGUCUGUCCUGAUCUCAGACAGUCUGCUCUGCCCACUUUAUGCAAACAUCAACUCAGUUGUCAAGGGAGGUCCUCGGUUUACUACGUCGUCCACCUAUUGACGUUUUGUGGUCACGUCCAUCAUUCUGAUGUAUGGCAUUCAAAUGGGUGAACUAUUUGGUGAGCAAAGCGGACGAAUACAUCGUCUCGUGGCGUUAUACUCAGAAGACAUCUUUGUUUACAUUCGCCGGUUGUAGACCAUACUCUGGAUUGUGCUUCAAUCACUUUUUCUUCCUUUGGGUUGUUGUCACUGUGUUAGCAUAAAUGACUAACACGAACAUGUAGUUAUGUCGCACCGUUGGAACGGAUCUCCAAAGUAAGUGGAGCUAACAGUGAACAAUAUAACUGACUGUCUCAUACACUCCACACUCCACACUUCAGACUGAUGCAUGUGGAGUGUGGAGCAGGAAAUCCUGGAGAGAUCAGGAGACCACAAGCACCAAGGUCAACAAGAACACACAAGGCUCUGAGGGAUGAGGGGGCUCGCUCUGACCUUCAGCUGCGCCUGGUGUAGAUAAUUAACUAACCACUGGGCUGUGAUAUAACUUUGAACCAAACUAGAUCAAACUGGCUCUGAAUGUAAGACAGUGAGGACACAGUUCUCUUCUGCAGGUUCAGAGACAGUUGCUUUGGAUAAAAGCGUCUGCUAAAUGUAUUGUAAUAUAUGCGAAGUCUGUGCUUGUUUUCACUGGUGUUGUAAGAUCAAGUUCGAAGGUGUCGUAACAUCACGGCCCGGGUAGGUGUGGAUUAAAAAGAACCCCAAACACCAGAGUGAGGUGGAAAAAAAAAACAGACAUGAAGAUCAGUUAAAGAUCAGCUAGAGGUAGAAGAUGAAAUGACUGAGAGUUCAAGACAGCAAGGUUCUAAAUUCUGUUGUAUGAAUGAAGUUUAGAAUGCGUGUAGGCACAAAACAACAACUUCAAACUUAAAGCACUAAAAAAAAAAAUCCCACCUGUUCGUAAGUACGACGAUCGUGUAUGUUUAGGGUAAUUUGCACUCAGAAAUACUGUGAAUUGUUGUUGUUGCAUAUGUCUCCCAAUUUCUCACUGAAAUGUUCCGGUGGCCAAAAAUCCCAGGAUGAAAAGGAGCUGGAUGUGCCCUAGGAUGGCUUUGGUGUGUUUUGUGUCACGCUCCAAGACGGAUUAUAAAUCUGUCAGUAUGUUUUUGGGAAAGCAGCGCCUGCUAAGAAGUGCUCUCGCUGAACGGAUCAGCAUGUUUUUUUGUUUGUUUUUUUUUUGAAAAUGCACUCUCUGCGCAGCAUGCGGAUUUCCAAAUCCUCCGAGAAAGACAUGAUACUGGUAUUUCCAGUCACAGCUUGCCUUUUAUAACUUGUCACACCAAUCCUUCAAAAUGUAAAAAAAAAA